GAGCAGUGAGAUUACAACACUGUAGCCUGUGUAAAGAACAAACAAAUGGCAACAGUAAUGUUUAUUUGGUAGCAUUUAUAAUCUAGAGCUUAAAAAACAUUGGACUGUAGUGAUGUAAGUGUAACCCUGGUUUUUCCUGCUUUUACUUUCUCUUCUCACGACUCCCCACUGUUCACGCUAUUGCGAGAUUCAUGCAAGUAUCACGAGAUUUGACAGAGUCCACGUCAUUUCCCUUUAAAUGUGGCGCCACGCUAUUGUUUUGUGUGUGUGUGUGUGGGAGUCGAUGUGUUGUGCUGCUGCAGAUGCCUCCAGUUCGGUUGAGACUGUGCCGUGUUGAGUGAUUUAAUGAUACAAGAACUGGCCAGGUUUCUUGUAUCGAUGGCGAGCUACUAGACCCUGAACCAAAGACUGAGAGUGCAAGCAUCUGCCGGUGUGGUAGGAGGCACUGCAACUGCUUCCCUCACACACCCUCGCACACCAUUAUACACCUAUACACACUCACACAUCUUUAUUACAUACUUUCAAGCACAUUCAUAUUGCUUUAUGGACUGAUUUUUCCUGAAAUUCUCUGGAUUGUCGGACUUUGCUUAUUGUUUCAAACUUCUCUUGAGUCUCUUCUGACAUGAGGAGCACAAACACCAGACCAGACCACUGAGCAGAGGAGAGAUUCUGUGCUGAAAGCUUUCCUGAGCUCAGAUUCUUCUGGAUUUCCUCCAGAAAGUCAUCUUUCAG